rnacentral:rRNA from 1 species
CUACGUGCCAGCAGCCGCGGUAAUACGUAGGUCCCGAGCGUUGUCCGGAUUUAUUGGGCGUAAAGCGAGCGCAGGCGGUUAGAUAAGUCUGAAGUUAAAGGCUGUGGCUUAACCAUAGUACGCUUUGGAAACUGUUUAACUUGAGUGCAAGAGGGGAGAGUGGAAUUCCAUGUGUAGCGGUGAAAUGCGUAGAUAUAUGGAGGAACACCGGUGGCGAAAGCGGCUCUCUGGCUUGUAACUGACGCUGAGGCUCGAAAGCUAGGGGAGCAAACAGGAUUAGAUACCCUGGUAGUCCUAGCCGUAAACGAUGGACACUAGGUGUGGGGGAAUAUUUCUUCCGUGCCGCAGCUAACGCAUUAAGUGUCCCGCCUGGGGAGUACGGCCGCAAGGCUAAAACUCAAAGGAAUUGACGGGGGCCCGCACAAGCAGCGGAGCAUGUGGUUUAAUUCGAAGCAACGCGAAGAACCUUACCAGGGCUUGACAU